AACGAGCGCUGGCGGCAUGCCUAACACAUGCAAGUCGAACGAGACCUUCGGGUCUAGUGGCGCACGGGUGCGUAACGCGUGGGAAUCUGCCCUUCGGUUGGGAAUAACUGAGAGAAAUUUCAGCUAAUACCUUAUAAUGUCUUCGGACCAAAGAUUUAUCGCCGAGGGAUGAGCCCGCGUAGGAUUAGGUAGUUGGUGGGGUAAUGGCCUACCAAGCCGACGAUCCUUAGCUGGUCUGAGAGGAUGAUCAGCCACACUGGGACUGAGACACGGCCCAGACUCCUGCGGGAGGCAGCAGUGGGGAAUAUUGGACAAUGGGCGAAAGCCUGAUCCAGCAAUGCCGCGUGAGUGAUGAAGGCCUUAGGGUUGUAAAGCUCUUUUACCCGGGAUGAUAAUGACAGUACCGGGAGAAUAAGCUCCGGCUAACUCCGUGCCAGCCGCCGCGGUAA
rnacentral:rRNA from 1 species